rnacentral:lncRNA from 1 species
CUCCAAGUCACACAGAUAAUGAAGCUAAGCCCCUCUAGUUUUUGCCCCUCUGAGUCACAUCACUCAUCCCCUCCUCGUCCAGUUUCUCUUGUUCUUACAAGAGGAGAGGAAGGAACAUAUGGACCUUCACCAUGGUGUUCCUAUGGGCCGGUUGCAUGAGAUGCACUUCUAAAGAUUUUUAAACAUAUUGAUCCCCAGAUCCUGCCCACGAAGAUUCUGAUUCAGAUGGUUUGGACAGAUCCUACAAAUCUGUACUUUUAAAUAAGUGCUGAAAUCAAUUCCAACUUUCAGCGGUGGCUAAAAGCAAGAGGACUCCCUUGAAAUAUUCUUUGUUUCCUACCUCUAGCCCAAGGCCCAGUGAGUAGCAUGAAAAGGUCAUUUCACAUAGUGUGAGUUGAGAUUGAGACUUCAUAUCUUCCAUGCACAGAUUUUCUCUAUAGUCUAUAAGAAUUCAGAUUUAUUUAUUCUCUGGCUUACUAAUUCUAGGAGACUAAGUUAUAUGAUCCUGCAAUUUUGUUUAUUGGUCUGGCUAAGCAGGGGAUGGUGUGGACUCUGCAGGUUCCUGCUAAAGAAUAAAGAGGAGACAGGCAGAACAGGUCUGGGGGCGUUGAAGAAAGGCCUUGCCCACUAUGUAUCAUUUGGCCAGCCUAUAGCUCAGAGGCUAGCAGAGUGUAAGUGGUCAAUGAGUACUUCUUAAAUGAAUAAUGUAUUUAUCAGGGUUACAAGUUUCGGAAAAGCAGCUGAAACGUGGCUGGAUUUCAAGGGGGGAAGGAGGCCAGGCACAGUGGCUCACACCUGUAAUCCCAGCGCUUUGGGAGGCCAAGGCAGGAGGAUCGCUUGAGCCCAGGAGUUCAAGACCAGCCUGGGCAACAUAGUGAGACCCUAUCUCUACAAAAAAAAAAGUAAAUUAAAAAUAAAUUUAAAAGGAGAAGAAUACUGAAGUAUCUCCUAUGACUGAGGUGCAGCUGGGCCUUGGAAAUGUCAGAAGCAGGGCCUCAAAUGCCCCAGGCCUCUCUUCACUCAUCUUGACCUCUUUCUGCAUAUCAGCAUUAUUUCAUCCAAGGCAGAAGUGACAUUCCCCCAUAUGGCACGAAAUGAAACCACCUACACCUUCCAAGCCUCAUAUCCAACAACUCCCACCAUAGAAAGACUUAGGACUUUCUUCCCUUCAUUCCAGUUUUCAAAAUCCCAGGGAAGCCCCCUGAUCAACCCAGCUGAGUUAGGGGCGCACCUCUAGCCAGGUGGAUGGCAUUAGUUAGUGCAGACACUGUUCCUAGAGAAGAAGGAGGAAUUGUUAUGAGUCAGGCAGUUACUCCUAUUGGUGACUAUUACCAAAAAAAAAAAAAAAAAA